CCUACGGGAGGCAGCAGUGAGGAAUAUUGGUCAAUGGGCGGGAGCCUGAACCAGCCAAGCCGCGUGAGGGAAGAAGGUACAGCGUAUCGUAAACCUCUUUUGUCAGGGAACAAAGGCGGGGACUAGUCCCCGGAUGAGGGUACCUGAAGAAACAGCAUCGGCUAACUCCGUGCCAGCAGCCGCGGUAAUACGGAGGAUGCGGGCGUUAUCCGGAUUUAGUGGGUUUAAAGGGUGGGCAGGCGGCCUGUUAAGUCAGCGGUAAAAGCCCGGGGCUCAACCCCGGCGAGCCGUUGAAACUGGCGGGUUGGAGUUGGAGAGAAGUACGCGGAAUGCGCGGUGUAGCGGUGAAAUGCUUAGAUAUCGCGCAGAACCCCGAUUGCGAAGGCAGCGUACCGGCUCCACACUGACGCUGAGGCACGAAAGCGUGGGUAUCGAACAGGAUUAGAUACCCCAGUAGUC
rnacentral:rRNA from 1 species